GCGGCCGCUGCAGCGCCCCCAGCCGGCCGCGGCGAGCGCGUAUCGGAGGCGCAUCUAUCAGCGGAGCCAACUGCUGGGAGAACAGGUGAACUGGAUCGGUUCCAUGGACCCAGCCAUUCUUCUUCCUAGGGACCUGAGCUCAGGAGCCGUCCCCAGGCAUUCGCAGAUGGCCAUCAAGUGUCUAAUAGAGUUGCUGUGUACCCUAGCAGUCCUGGAACUCACUUUGUAGACCAGGCUGGUCUGAAC